rnacentral:lncRNA from 7 species
AGAGCUGACUACAGCUUCACACACUGUUUGACGUUUUUUAGCCCGCGCAGUUUUUGCUUGUGAUUGAUGAAUGCUGUAGGGUUGAUGCUGAGGAUAAAGAACUCCAGUCAUCACUGAAGAUUACAAGCAGGGGAAUCCUCGUCUGCCUAUAGCUCUGCACCUGCCCUGUUACACACUCUGUUUCUUCCUGCUUAUACACGAGAGUGAAUUCCCUCAGCAGCCAGUGUGCGUUUCAGGCUUCUCCAUACCAUCUCAUACCACUAGGCUCCUGGAGACUGUAUUAGGACACAGAUGCAUGACUGGAACCAGAGCUCCCAUUGAGAGACUGGAUGAAGUCUUUUUGGAUGUGUGCUGCUACAAACUGAAUCGUUUGCUAUCUGGAGCCCCGUGGUGUGAGCAAACUGGCAGGUGAUCUUUCAGCUUACACAAAACAUUAAGGCACUUUGUCUAAGCCUCGGAGCUUUCUUGAGGAUCAAGUGCAAGCACGCUCCAUGCUUUAGCAUAUCCUGUGAGUCCACUUAGGGAAGUUCCCACAUGCCACUUGGCUGAAGCAUGGAAACCAGAUGUCCAUGCCUUGGAUCUCUGUAACCAAAGGGAUGACACAGUGAGGUCAGUAAUGAAUUCCCACCGGGAUUCCAGAUGGAGUCAGCAUGUUUGAUCUGCAUAGCGCAUCCAGGGGGAAGGAUACAUCUAUGAGCUGUUGUAGGCAUGGCUCUGAGGAGAUGGCAACCUGUCCUGAAGCUCUGCUGCCAUCCCAUCUCCUUCCUGCUCACCAGUGGUGUUCACAACCUUGAAACUGAACUGGAAUGUCAUAGGCUCUGUAUAAGCACAUGCAUAGGGGACAAGCAGUUAGAAGCAUAAACAGGCAAAGAGCAAGAGGAAAAGCUGCCCUCAUCAAAAGACACAGCCUGGCACAUGUCGUGGAUGGAAACUGAAGCACUGCACACUUCACUCGUAAGAGGAAAGCAGAAAAAUAUUUCCUGAUAUAAAAUUACCAUGGUAAUUUGAAC